rnacentral:rRNA from 1 species
UUGAACGCUAGCGGCAGGCUUAACACAUGCAAGUCGAGGGUAUGCCGUAUUUAUCGGCAGAGACCGGCGCACGGGUGCGUAACGCGUAUGACAAUCUACCUUCACAGAGGGAUAGCCCAGAGAAAUUUGGAUUAAUACCUCAUAGUAUAGCAGUUUCGCAUGAAACCACUAUUAAAGUUCCAACGGUGAAAGAUGAGCAUGCGUCCCAUUAGCUAGAUGGUAAGGUAACGGCUUACCAUGGCUACGAUGGGUAGGGGUCCUGAGAGGGAGAUCCCCCCACACUGGUACUGAGACACGGACCAGACUCCUACGGGAGGCAGCAGUGAGGAAUAUUGGUCAAUGGACGCAAGUCUGAACCAGCCAUGCCGCGUGCAGGAUGACGGUCCUAUGGAUUGUAAACUGCUUUUGUACGAGAAGAAACAACAUUACGUGUAAUGUCUUGACGGUAUCGUAAGAAUAAGGAUCGGCUAACUCCGUG